GAAUGGAAGCUUUUUUUUUUUCUUUUUAAUGUGUAGAGAAUUUGAAUCUCAUUCAGUAGGUUGUCUUAAUGUAUGUGAUGAUUAAAUGUUUCUUUCAGCCCUGGCCAGUGUGGCUUAGUUGGUUGAGCAUUGUCCCCUGUACCAUGCACUGAAAGGUCUUUUGUUCAGUUUUCGGUUAGGGCACCUGCCCAGGUUUUGAGUUCCAUGCAUACUUGAGACAACAAGUUGAUAUUUCUCUCUCAUAUCAAUAUUUUUCUCCCUCCUUCCUCUCUCUCUAAAAUCAAUAAAACUUUUUUUAAUGUUUCAGUUAGUUUAUCUUCCAAAUAUUGUUGAUACGAAGGGGGAUGGUAUUGCGGUUGCACUGGCAAGAUAAUGCCCAUUUGAUAACAAGACAGAAAGCAGUUACAGAAAUGCUUAUGAGCAGAAAGUCCAGUAUUGCUGAAAAUGCCAUAUAGUAUGUUUAGACCUAGUUUUGAAGCUUAUUGUUGGUGUAACAAGUAUACCCUCAGCCAUAUAUAGUUUAGAAUAUAUGAUCUAGGGUCUGGAUCUGAUGUCUGAUUUUAAUAAACAUGUUGAAAAACUA